ensembl:lncRNA
AUGACCGUAAAAGAGAAGUCACUUACCCCUUUGUGUGGUUGGGAGGCCGUCUCCUCCGUUCCUCCGUCCCAGUACGCGAACUUUUGCAAACGAGAGGGAGUGACGUCAUCAGGUGUUUCCCAACUGCGCUGUCUAGGCUCCGCCUUGCCCGCAUUCUCCACCACUGUGACGGGACGAGCCAACGACAGACACAGUGGGCGUGGCGUCAGGCCUCGGAGAGGUUUUUAUUUAACAGAAAAACCAAAACAAGGGGGAAUAAAGUGUCCAAAAGGGGAACAGUGUCCAAAACAACAGGGAAUCUGGUGUCCUCGUCGUGCUGCGGGGUUCGUGGGGGUCUGGCAGUGUUCAUGGAGGAAGGGUCCAGGUAAGGGGCGGAGUCCGGCGGCCGCACGCGCUCCCCUCUUCGGUCCGGGGCGCGAGGGGCGGCGGCUUCUUCUAGCGGCUUCAUCCUCCUCGCUGGCCGCGGCGCUUGCAGGGGAUGGACGGCCCGGCAUCCUGGCCCGACGGCCGUGUAGACGGGUGCGGUUCUCGACCGGACCGCGGGUCCGGCAGCUCACGUCUCUGGUGGCGCGGGAGUCCCUCAACGCACCCUUCCUGGACCCACGAGGACACCAGUGUGCAUGCACGGGGAAAGAGACCGGUCUCCCGAGGAGAGGCGCGUUGGGCUUUUAAACAGCGGCGGUGAUGAGGCUCCAUUUCCUUCAGGUGUGCCCCAUCACACGCCGCCAGCCCUGACUCGUCCAGCGCCCCUCCUCUCUCCCACGCCCACUCCUAUCGGGAGCCUGGUGAAGGGCGGCGAUUUAGGACGGGGUGCCGGUGAUUAUCAGGGAGGAGGGAGCUGACUCGUCACAAUAUGAAUGUUUUUUAAUCCGAUUGAGCCAUCAAUCUGAUUACAAACGGAUUAGUCGGGUGCAUGUAAACAUAGCCAAUUUUUGUCAGAAAUCACAUACAGCACCUUUAACCUAUUUUGUGUCUGUGUUGUUAGUCGAUCACACACACCUGAUUAUCAUCGGCUCUGCUCGUUUGCGACGUUAUUUUGCACUGCUCUUGGUAGAUUGUGUUGGUCAUUGUGGAAAUGAUCUGCGUCUGUGUUUUAUAAUUUGCUCAGUAGAUCAGCAGAAUUUUUAUGGGAUUAUAGCGCUCUCAUGCUCACUUGGCCUGUUUUAAUAAAUCUCGCUAAAAAUCAACUAAAACUAAGAAG